rfam:Atta colombica isolate Treedump-2 unplaced genomic scaffold scaffold128, whole genome shotgun sequence.
CAAACGGUUCUUAUCAGAACCACCACAUUUUUGGACGAAAGUAUACU